rnacentral:miRNA from 1 species
AUCGACCUCUUUGAUCGGAAGGGGUUCCUUCCGAUCAACGAGGAUGUACCCUCGUUGACCGGAAGGAAACUCUUCCGGUCAACGAGGUAGAU